rnacentral:rRNA from 1 species
AUUGAACGCUGGCGGCAGGCCUAACACAUGCAAGUCGAACGAGUGGCGGAGGGGUGAGUAAUGUCUGGGAAAGUGCUUGAUGGAGGGGGCUAACUACUGGAAAAGGUAGCUAAAACCGCAUACGAUCGGUUGUGCCCCGAUGGGAUUAGCUAGUAGGUGGGGUAACGGCACACCUAGGGGACGAUCCUUAGCUGGUCUGAGAGGAUGACCAGCCACACUGGAACUGAGACACGGUCCAGACUCCUACGGGAGGCAGCAGUGGGGAAUAUUUCACAAUGGGCGCAAGCCUGAUCCAGCCAUGCCGCGUGUAUGAAGAAGGCCUUCGGGUUGUAAAGUACUUUCGGCGGAGAGGCGUUACCCGCAGAAGAAGCACCGGCUAACUCCGUGCCAGCAGCCGCGGUAAUUC